CGGUUACACUUAUAAUGCAAUAAAAGAAGUUCGGUAAUUAAUUAAUAAGAUUUUUAUGAAUAAAUUUUUGAUUUUAUUAAGUGAAAUUUCUAAAAUUAAAGAAUAUUUUUGAUAUUUUUAUGAGGUUAAGAAGUUUAGGUUGUAGACUAGGAUUAGAUACCCUAUUAUUCUAAAUGUAAUAUUUGUUACUUGGUUAGUAGUAGUUAUGACCUUGAAAAUUAAAGAAGUUGGCGGUAUUUUAGUCUAUUCAGAGGAACCUGUCCUAUAAUCGAUGGUCCACGUUUUCAUGUACUUAUUUUAUUAGUUUGCAUAUCGCCGUAGGUUGAAUAUUUUUAUAAAAAAGUAAUGUUCAAUAAUUUUUAUAAGAAAAGAAUUCAGGUCAAGAUGUAGCGUAUAAAUAAGAAGAGAUGGGUUACAAUAAGUUUACUUAGACAGAGUGAUAGAUGAAAUUUUAUUGUGAAGAUGGAUUUGAGGGUAAUUAUAUUUAAAUUUAUAUAAUGAUUUUAGCUCUAAAAUAUGUACAUA
rnacentral:rRNA from 1 species